rnacentral:rRNA from 1 species
UGAGUAACCUGCCCUUAACUCUGGGAUAAGCCUGGGAAACUGGGUCUAAUACCGGAUAUGACUCCUCAUCGCAUGGUGGGGGGUGGAAAGCUUUAUUGUGGUUUUGGAUGGACUCGCGGCCUAUCAGCUUGUUGGUGAGGUAAUGGCUCACCAAGGCGACGACGGGUAGCCGGCUGAGAGGGUGACCGGCCACACUGGGACUGAGACACGGCCCAGACCUCCGUACGGGAGCAG